GGUUAGGCAUAAUAGACAAAACCCAGAAGUCUAUGACUCAACAAUAUUUGUACUGCCAAUUCUCCAGCGGAAAAUCCAAAGAAGCUUCUCACCCCUGCCACCAUGGCCUGGUAGUGGAUCGCUUGUACUCUCCUUACCUGCUUCAGUGCGGUGCUGGCUAGGUUACUUCAAUGACUGCUACUCACCCUGAAGAGGCUUUAAACCAACACUCUGCACCACAGCAGCGAAUGAGUGCUCAUGUGAUUUGUAACGAUAGCCCAGUUGCAGAGAGAGUGAAUUAAAGCUGAGAUUAUAAAGCUGGGGAUGGCUUAAGUUACAUCUUAAGUUACAACAGAAAGUGUUGUUCGAAGCGGUCAGAAAUCUAGGUAAAAAGAACCCGUUCCUAUUUCUCUGCUUUUCUGGAGCAUCACUUUGA